AUACUUAGCUGGCAGGGGAGAUAGAUACCAUGAUCACAAAGUUGGUUUUCCCAGGGCGAGUCUUACUCAUUGCACUUCAGAUGUACUGACCCCUGCAAUUUUCCCCAAAAGUGGGAAACCUGACUACAUAAUUGGUGGUGGGGGGCUACAUUCACAUUCUCUCUGG